rnacentral:lncRNA from 1 species
AGACGAAAGGUGAUCCAACCGAUACUCAAACUCAUACCGAUCUCCGAGCACUCUCAACUGGAGACUAAAAAGAGGGAAUACUGGAUCCGAACUGUAACCACAGAGGCUCUGAAAGCCCUCAGAUGCACCCACGUGUAGGGAGGGAGUCCUAAUCGAAUGAUCUACGGCUCAACCUACAAGGUGAAGGUGGCUCUAAAUGGAUAUGGGUGGAAUUUAAAGAUCCCUAGCAGAAGCGAUCAUACCCUCCGGCGGUACGCAACCCUCUGCACGCCUCCGAAGAGACGGGGCGCUUCCAUGCAAGGUGGUCAUCACCUCCACACAUGCACUACCUCGCAUCCCAAGGGGCUUCCUAUGGUGAAACCUCUCAAACUCUCAACACUCAAUAGUCAACUAAAGUGCACAGUGGACGGCUAGGAUCGUUCACUGGGAUGGGUUUUCACUUCACAAAUGAUAUUAAUUCAAAGAUGAAUUGGUGCCUUUUCAUUUCAAGGUUAGCUUUAAAAGAAAACAUAAAGAUGUAAAUGUUUUAGAAAGAUUUAAACUAAUCUAAGCUAACAUUAAAGAUUAAAAUGAAAGGGUGUAAAAACAAGUUUCUCAAAGAUAGGAUAGCUAUGCUCUGGCUCUUAUGCAAAUUGGAAAUCUCAGGAUAGGCUCCUCGCGUUGGGGUUGCAACUAUGGUGAUGCUUGCUUCCCGAACCGGUAUGGAUUUAGCAAAUCAAGUUUUAAUCCUUUAAAAUGGCAAAAUAGAUGGUAGUGAAUUUCAUCAAUGGUUAUUCACCAUAGACUUCCUUUGAAUGGCUCGUAAGAGAUAACUAAUGGUCUAAAGCCAAAAGCUUACCAAAUAUUGGCAACUCAAAGUCAUUCCAGGUGAUAAACUCACCUUUCAAUGGCCAUUGAAAUUGGUUCUAACGGAUUAAUGCAAAACUUGGAAUUAAAAACCUCACCUUCCAAUAGCUCGUAGGAGAUAACUAAUGGAUAGAAAUCCAAAAGCUUAUCAAGUAUUGGCCGUUGGAAGUUGUCCAAAGGAAAUAAAAACCAAAUUUUGCAUUAAUGAACCUUUAAUGAAAAACGACUACCUUACCUUCCAGGUGCGAGAAAUUUCCAUGGGAUUGCAUCCAAGCCAUCACAUAACACCCAUACUUUGAGAAACUAAAAGUUUUAGCCAAUCAUCCUCUGAGGAAAAGCCCUCAGAGGCUGUUUGGCUACUAAGAAAAUAGAAAUGGGGAAGAACAGGAGAAGAGAGAAAAAACAGAGCAAGGCUCUGUAUAUUCUAUAUAUUUAUCUAUCUAUAUAUCCCGUCGGAUUACAUGAUUACAUGAUUACAUCAUGCCCUGAGAACAAGCUCCCGAGAGCUAUAUAUAAAGAAAAUUACAAAACAAAAUAUCUGAGGUUAUUCACCCCUUUUCCAAACUUAAUAACUAAGGAAUCCUAUAAUUGGUGGGUUACAAGGAGAAAAUGGGGAUUUAGACAUCAAAAAAUCUAAAGAGAAAUAUAUCACAAUGUCGGUCGCAAUUAUCGGGAAGCUUCAGGAGAAUUUCGCAGGCGCACAAAAUGGCUGCGAAAUUUCGCAGCCAAAGGCUGAUUUCGCAACCCUGCAAAAUUGGCCUUCAGCUUGGAGUGAUCUUCUUCCAAUGGCUCUAACUUCUUCAUUUCAACUCCGAUUUGCGAACCGUUUGAAGCAUUGGAUUAUUGACUUCCUGAUCUUCGAAACAACAUAUAGCAUGUAUAAAUUGGACUUCAGGAAGUGCUCCAAAAGUGGCUGAAAUGACUGUCAUCAAGAAUGCUUCAUGGCAGAUUUCUCUUUGCUUCCCCUCCUUGCAUUCCGGAUUUGCUUAUGGCAAAGGACUUCAAAGCUUUGGUUAUUCAUGUUUCUGAGCUUUCCAUUGCUUUGCCAUGGAUUCCAAAUAACUCUCCUCAAUCUCAUAUUGCUUUGGUGAUCAAAAAGCUAUCAAAACACCAAAACUUAACACAAAUUGAUUAGAAUUGAUUGCAAGGGUCCUUAACAUGCCAAUUGAGUUAAAAGGUAAUAACUACUACUCAAAAGUGUUUAAAAGAGUUAAUUACAAGCUAUCAAAUAGCACUUUUUGAGUAGUAAUCAGUGUGGGUGCAUCCGAAAACCCUAGAAAGCUAAAACAGAAGAGGAAACACACUGGCCACACAAAUAUCCAUGAAACCUAGCUCCGGGCUAUAUAGGUCUUCAAUGAUCGGACUCCUCCCGACAUCAAUGUCGCUCUCCUCCAGAAUGCUCCCGUGCAUCGAUAUAGCCCAUCGCUAGACCCUACUCCUAAUCUCCGGCUCGGUCAAAGAGCAAACACACAAAAGGUCUCACACUUGCAAUAGUGAGAACUAAGAUGAAAGGAAUGACCGACACCAAGAGAGUUGGAGGUAGGGGGAUAGAAGUGAGACCCACAUAGACAAGCGACAUGCAAUCAUGCAGAAGGAGGGCAAUCAUGCAUUAUACAGUCAAGCAGAGUACAGGAUAUAUCACUCAUGUCCACAAAAAGCUACAGCUAUCAGGAUGAAUAGCGAUAUGAACAUCAUGCUCAAAAGAUGAUCAAGACAAUAUACUAGCCAGAGAAUCGACAUAUUAAGCUGAGUGAUGUACAGUGGUGAGUGUAUGCAUGUGAAGUGAUCAGAAUAAUCAUGGCAAAAUCAGGAUCAAUACGCUAAGCAAUACGAAAUGAUCAAUCAAUAUAAUCAGCAUGUCAAAAUCUCAAAUAAAUAUAUCAAUGAAGCACAGAGAAAAUAACUAUCUCGGAAUCCUCUAUCAAUACGAAUCAAUCAUCAUAAUCAGCAUGUCAAAUAUCUCAAACAAAAUAUAUCAAUGAAGCACAAAGAAAAUCACUGUGUCAAAAUCCCCAAUCAAGAUAAUCGACCAAUACAAUCAAUCAUGUCAAUGUCCCAAGUGAAAACUCGGGAACCCUCAAUGUGCAAUCAAGAAGUGAGUAUCCACUAAUCGACUCAUCAAAAGCCACAUUUGCUUCAUCCUAAGUUCAAGCUUGACCCUCUAAUGAUCCCCAGUGGAGUCGCCAUUUUGUGGACCCCGCAUUUUCGAUUGCUCGAUGCGUUUCCCACUCGAUGACGAGCUCGAUAUUUUAUUUUAAAAAAUGAUUUAAUUUGAUUAAGAAAAUGACUUGGAGUCACCACUUAUUUUUGUUUUAUUUUUAAAGGGUAAACAAAAUAAGAAAGAAAAACCCUAAGUGUGACUCCUUAUUUUGGAAAAGGCGGUCUGUGAAAACCGGAUCGGGUUCGGGGGUCAGGUUACUUAUCGGGAAGGUACGGUAAAGACCGUAGCACCCCUCUAAGUCCCUAAAGUCGGGUCUCUACUAAUAAAAUGAAGCUGAUGUGGCAAUGAUGAGGAAAUCAAUAAAUACUCAAAUCAAUCAUGCACAUAUCAAAACAUGCAUAUAGUGAGAUCAGAAUAAGGACAGAUGCGUACCUGGGCAAUGAUCUUCAAUGCGCUAUCAAGAAGUGAGAUUAGUGUACAAUUAAGGGAUAGUCACAUGCAUAUCAUAGAGCAGAAUAAAUCAUGUAUGGCACCCGAAUCAACCAAACAAUCCAUUAAUCAUAAAAUCUCAUAUGUUGGGCCCCCACCAAAGCCCAUUUCUAUUUUUGCAUGAAUAGAUUUCAUAAGUUCCAUUAAUUGGAAUCACAAAAUUGAAUUCAUGUUUUAUUUCAAAAAAACGUUUUAAAAUUAUGAAAAAUUCGAAAGUGGCUCGCCCAAAAAAAGAAAAUAGCGGCCAAAUUUUAUUGAAAAUGAGAUGUUUAGAACCUAAAAAAAGAUGUCUAAGAAUGAAAAAUUUAAGAAGUUAAAAUUAUUUGAAGAAUUUUAAAAAUUGGAAAACUAUUUGAAAAUUGGGAUUUGAGGGAUUAUUUUAAAAACAACAAGGAUAAAAUAAUAAUGAUGACAAAGAAGAUAAUAAUAAUAAUAAUAAUAAAAGUAAGUAAAAAUAAAAAGUAAAAGAUAUUUGACGAAUGGAAAAAGGGUAAAAAAUGGAUUUAUUUAAGAUAAAGAAAGAAAACUUGAAGGAUUUAAACCUUUGAAAAGGAUUUUAUUUGAAAAUCAAUUGUUUUGAAAACAAUGCACGGGAAUGUAGGGGUAUGCCACGUGAGUUUCAGGGGUGGCCCACCAAAGGUGGCCAUGCAUGCCAUGCUGGAAAGAGGAAGCGGGUCCCAAAGGUGUCACAAAAAUUGUCUCAUUCAUUGCCUCAACAGUAGCUUCGACCUAUAUCUCCUUGAGGUCUCUUUCAUUCCUCCUAGCAGGGUUUGCAAUCUUCACUAACACUGCCCUUCUUUGCCAAUUCGGAUGCUGUGUGAGCAUCUACCCUAUUGACAACAACUUCAAAACGACACCCUUGGAGAUGUCCAUGUCAUCAACAAAAUCAAGCAAAAAUCACUCCAACUUCUUCAACAUGAAACUGCCCAGAUCACAUAAGUGCUUCCAGAAUCUAAAAAAAAACAUAACGGUAAAUCAGCAAAUGCAACUUAUCAACUCCAUCACCUUGUGCCCAAUUUUCUUUUAAGCAUAAAUAAAUCCCAGCUCAGAGAGUUUCAAAAGGGGUUCUUUGUAAUCCUCAAAGAAGACAUCUUCAUUAGCGGCAUGUUUCUCGACAAGAGGACAGAAGGCUGGGUCUGAGAGAAGAGCUUUAUCACUUGGCAGCUAUAGAAGACCUUCCUUUUCUUCGCCAAGGAGUUCCGUGAAGUAGCUGUUAUCAAAGAUCAGAGGAUUGGAAGUCCAAGGUCCUUCAAAUCCAGAGCGCUCCUUGUGGCACCUUCCCAGGGUGUGGGCCCCAGAGAGAGCUACGAUGUCCUUGUCGUUGAGACCCAUUUGGGUAGCAUACACCUAUCUCAAGUGAUCGCAUCUUUUGGUGGCAUCUGGUAGACGACCCUCAGGUGGUGGCUCCGGCUUGUCCUCUCUCCCUGGGUGGAAAGGAAUUUAAAGCCCUCCAGUGACCUCAACAGCAACUCAUAUUCCUUGACCUUCAAACCACUCUCAAGAAGCUGCAUUGCUUUCUCGCCCCUGACAGUGACGUAGCAAGCAAUCUUCUCAUUACGCCUGAUCCCAAAGGAUCAAACAGUGUAUCUUGCUUUAGAGAAAACAGGGGUCUGGUCACUGAGUUAUUCCAACACCUUAGCGGCUCUGGUGAGGCGAUCUCCACUUUCUCCAAUGGAGAUGUUGAGGACGAGCUUCUGGGCCUUGAUGUCCCUCAUUGGGUUUGAGAGUUUCUUCUCUGAAGCCAUUGGAAGACUGUGUUGUGGAGAUGCAGCUGCUGGGUAUGAUUUGUCAUAACAUUACCGUCUGCACUUACUCUCAGGGGCAAUGACUUUACCUCUUUUAAUGCAUUGUCCUAUGGCAGAUCCAAGUUCCUUGGAACAAGACCAAGUUGACUGAGUUGACUAAACGGGAAGAGAGGAGGCGGUGAUGGGUGUAUAUGGGUAAGUGAUGGACCGACUUGGGGAUGUAGAUGGAGAGGCAUCUGUAUAGAGCCAGUUUGGAUUGCAGGGACUGGAGAUGGUAUCAGAGAAGGACCAGAGAACAACCCCAAGCUGGAGCUUAAAAGGUAACUCAACCUGACCUGGAGCAGCAGAUAUAGUAGACGUAACAGCCUUUUCAACAGCCACAAACUUCCUCAAAUGCACCAGAAGCAGACGAAUAAAUACAGAAAAAUCCUGGAUCCAAAAUGACAAACUCCUCUUCACAUCAUUAUCUUUCUCCAUCAGCCAAUCUCCUCAGAUUCUCAGUCUUAAAGCUUGAAGGUCUCUUUCAAAGGAAAACAGAGGAAGAAGAGGAUAGAAACAGGAACAGAGCAAGAAUGGAUGGAUUAAAGAAUUACUAAGCUACAUCUCGUUUCAUGAAUGAUGAAUGAGUGGCUAGCUGGUGGGAUGAGUUAAAAAAAAAUCCACAAUAUAAUCAUCAGAGCAUCCAAACCAAACUCAAUGAAGAUCCAAUCAUUUUCAGAAGAAAAGAAAAUCGAGCACAGGAGAGAAAUGAAGCAAAGCAUCAUACAUGAAUAAGCAUAUUCAAUCGAAACAAACUCCGUGGCCCUUGAUGUCCACGGCAAACAAUAAACAGCGUUCAGAGAUCAACAAGGGGUGAAGCAAAACAUUAAGAAACAGGAACACCCCAAGCUCAAAAUAGCCUUACCUGGAAGUCCACAGCACGGCUUUCCACUGCUUUUCUUCCUUCACCAACAAGCUUCUCUUCCCAAGUUAGUUGCACUCCCUGAACUCUCUCAAACGGCCCUCAAGAUGUCUCUUCUAAAACCACUCUUAUCACUCGUCUCCCCCCCCCAAAAGCAAAACCUGCAGCUGGCAACCUCCAGCAGCCCAGGUACCUAACAAAAAGAAUGCGCUCCUCUCUAGCUCCCCUCUAGAAUCCCUCCAAAAAAAACUCUCAGACUCUCCUCUCCAGCCCUCACACCUCUCUCUCUGGUUCCCCCUUCCCCCCUUUCUCUCUGAGAACCCUCCUGAAAAUAUCUCCUAACGGCCCCAAAACGCUCCCCCCUCUCCUGUAACUCCUCCCCCUAGCAGCUGGCAAAACGGUCUGCAGCUUUUGCAGAUUCCCUCACCCCCCGUGUCACCUUCUCAUUGGCUCUUAAAACCACUAUUUUGAUUCCACAACAGCCAAUCUCAGGACAGCAUGUGGACUCCUAGGAUGGUGACAUCUGGCCACAGCUAGCUGCAAGAAAGGAAACGUGAGAAAAAUCACAGCUCCCCAAAAUGGGGGUCUACAAAUAUGCCCCUCUUCGGUAGAGUUCACGAGUGUAAGGAAUAUGAACACUGAAGUGAAAAGAAAGUGUGAAUAGUGAGUGGAGUGAAGUGAACUCUGCCGAAGAACCAAGGAGACCCCCAUAGGGACACUAGCAAAACACGAAUUCGCUCAGGCUGACAGACUAACACAAAGGCUCUAAUCCUAAAAGAGAAAGAUGGGUGCCUCAAAAUGCCUCUGAAACCACACUAAGGAUCCAGACUCCCUCUAAAACGUCUCCAAAAGUGACCCGAAGAUCGAUGUCAAAGGUGAGUAACGGUCAAACCACCCUGGAGUACAGACAAGAACGUGUUCAAAGGAGACUGCCCUAUGUGGACUACAUGAUGAAUAUGCGAUAAAGCACAGGGUAACGAAGUGAGGAAAAACCGAGGAAGAAUGCAAAACCAUGAAGGUAAGAUGCGCAAUGCCAGUGAAUAGGAAUGCUAGGAGCUGCGACUCUGCAUGACAAGACUGACUCUAAACGCUAAACUAGAAAAUAAGAAAAUAAAGCUCUGCAAGCCAAACCAAAAAGCUAACUCUAAACGCUAAACUGAGAAAAUAACAGCUCUGGAAGCCAAACCAAAAAAACUAACUCUAAACACUAAACUAGAAAAUAUGAAAAUAAAGCUCUGGAAGCCAACCAAAAAGCUAACUCUAAACACUAAACUAGAAAACAAGAAAAUAAAGCUCUGGAAGCCAACCAAAAAGCGAACUCUAAACGCUAAAAUCGAAGGCCCAUAGGUGAAGACCUACGGUGGUGAUAAUAACUGAAACAAAGGCUCAUGGAUGAAAAUCCAUGAUGGUGAAUCUGAAAUGCCCAUAGAUGAAAAUCUAUGGUGGUGAUAGCUGAAACAAAGGCUCAUGGAUGAAAAUCCAUGAUGGUGAAUCUGAAAUGCCCAUAGAUGUCUGAUCUAUGGUGGUGAAAUAACUAAAAAGCCCAUAGAUGAAAAUCUAUGGUGGUGAAUCUGAAAUGCCCAUAGAUGUCUGAUCUAUGGUGGUGAUAAUAACUGAAAAGCCCAUAGAUGAAAAUCUAUGGUGGUGAAUCUGAAAUGCCCAUAGAUGUCUGAUCUAUGGUGGUGAAAUCUGAAAUGCCCACAGAUAAAAAUCUAUGGUGGUGAUAUAACUGAAAAGCCCAUAGAUGAAAAUCUAUGGUGGUGAAUCUUAAAUGCCCAUAGAUGUCUGAUCUAUGGUGGUGAUAAUCUCGAAAGCCCAUAGAUGAAAAUCUAUGGUGGUGAAUCUGAAAUGCCCAUAGAUGUCUGAUCUAUGGUGGUGAUAUAACUGAAAUAAAUGCUCAUAGAUGAAAAUCUAUGAUGGUGAAAAUCUGAAAGAAGGGGGAUGCCCUAAAUAAGAUGACAAUAGGGGGAUGCCCUAAACAAAAUGACAGUAGGGGGACGCCCUAGGUGAUGACUCAUAAAAAUCGGCAAAUGGGUCCGACAACCAUGAAAUCAACACGAGACACGGUAAACCCAAAGAGAGGGGGUAUGCCCCAGUAGAAAAGCGCCAAAGGGGUAUGCCCCAGUAUAACGACUCACAAAGAUCAAGAAGUGGAUCAAGUGAUGAGAAAAAUCACGAAAGAUCUGGUGGACUCAAGGAUGGGGGUAUGCCCCAGCGUGACGACCCAUAAAGGUCAAGCAACAGAAUGAGCAGUGAGAAAAUCUGCAGAAGAUCCGAUGAACUCAAGGAUGGGGGUAUGCCCCAGUGUAAGAUAGUAGCUAACAUAAGACAUGGAACUCACCAUACAAGACACUCCGGGAUAUGCUCAAUGAUGAUGCAAUGAAAAAACACAUAUAGAGCCUCAAUGAACAAAUGCUAAAACAAGUCCAAACAUCACCGAAACUAUGCUGACGAAGCAAAACUAAAAUAAUGGCCCCAAACAAAAACUGACCAAGACUCUAAAACUGAAAUGCAAGCAAAUCAAGACAUGGCAUGUCAACUAUCAAUAUGAGUACAUCAUCACAAGUGAAUCAACAAUCUAAUAGGUCCUACCAUCAUGGGAGAUGUUGAACCUAAUGUCCAAAGGCAUGUGAAAACUCAACCAGAAAGCUCAAGACUAGCCCAUAUCUUCCCCUGAUCAAGAGAAAGGGAUAAGGUCAUGUAAGACGAUGAAAUAUGUGGGCUCAAAAGAUGUAAGGCUCUAAUAAGAUGGGUGCAGGUAUAACAGUGUCCAAUGUAGGAUGUAUAGGUGUGUAACAAAGGAAAGUGGGUACCCAAAUCAAACUAGGUAUGCUGAGGAGACUGAGCCCAGGGUAUCAAUGACUCCAUGAUCCAUCGAAAGUCGCAACCAUGAACACGAAAUGGAGUCUCAAUGUCAAAAUCAGCAAGGUGGCUAUGCCCCAGUGUGACUGCGUCAUCUCGAAUGGAUAAGCUCUCAGUACAAGAUAAACUCUGGGAAGUAUGUGUCUGACAUAAACUGUCAUCUCACAAAAUCAUCACCGAUGAGUAGGCUAUGCUCCAGUGUAAGCAUCUCCAAAUCAAACAUCAAUGAGAGGAGUACAACCAAUCAUACCUCAUCUGAUCAAAAUGAAUCUCUACUCCUCAAAGUCAUCGUGGUAAUGUGAAGAGAGUAUCUGACCUCCUCUAAAGAAAAAUCAUGUCCCAAUGUGAACUGGUGUCUCUAAGAUCAACCUCCAAUGAAAGGGUUAUGCCCCAGUAUAGGGCAAACCCUGAAAUGACUAAACUCCGCUAUAUGCUCCCAUAAGUGUCAGUGUCCUGAUCCAAUCAUCUCAAAAAUAUGUCAACAAUGAUGAGAAGGCUAUGCUCCUGUGAUCACGUCAAAGAUAUCAACCAAUCAUGUCCCGUACUCCAAUGUGAAAUGAAUCUAAUCGCCUCCAAGGAACAUCUAUGCCUAAAAAAAAAAAACCAUCAUCGACCGAAAGGGGUAUGCCCCUGUGUAAAGUACACUAUAUGAAAUGUGCCAAUCAUGUCUCAUGCUCCAAUGUGAAAAAGGACAUCUGAUAUCCUCUGAGGAAUGGACAUGGCUCAAAAAUCCGUCAUCGACUGAGAAGGGUAUGCCUCGACACAAUGGUCAUCCGAUAAUAAAACUCUCUGAGAUGGCUAUGCCCCAGUGUAAGGUCAUACCAUAACCCCCGGUCUGUCACAAUCAGAAUGCUCUCGAAUCAAUCUCAAGUAUCGCUCACAUAAGAGCUAUCAAACAUAAUGUGUGAUGUCAUGGCCUCAGGGUGGUCUUAAGACACGGGACGUAACGUAAGCUAGGGUGAUAGGGUGAUAGAAAUGAAGGGAAACUAGGCCCAAAUACCCAAUGAUCAAAACCCAUGCCCUCAUGUAUAAAAUGCAACAUGUAUAGAAAAUAUCGUGAGCCAUGGACCUGAAGAUGCCUACUGUGAACAUGGUAACAAUGAUGAUGCAAUGAAGAAAAAUCGAACUGAUGACGAGAUGUAUAAUGAUGGCGCGAAGAGGGUAUCAAACCCGAAAAUGAGGUCACUGUAAGAAUGGAAUAAGGGGUGGAAUAAAAAUGAUAAAAUAGAAGUGAAACGAGGAUGAUGAUGAAGCAUAGAAUACGAGAACAAGUGAUGAUCUGCUCAAAUCAAAUAUGAAAGGAGGUCACGUCAAUAACGAACACAAUGAUGGAAUGGACAAUGACCCAGAGCUCCUAAGAGAAGGCCACUCAUCUCACUCUCAAAACAUACAACAAAAUGAAUACGAAGAAUGAAAGGUCCCGAGGAGCUCACAUACGAACUCCCAUCAAUAGACAUAUCCAACAAAGCGACCCCUCGAACACUAAUAUACACAUACUCAAUGAUAGAGAAUAAUACACACAUGUGCCUUUUUUUUUUUUUUUUUUUUUUUUUACAGAUAUACAAAUAUACAUGCUCUGAAGCAAACCAAGAAAGAUCUAAAGACGAAGUAAAAACGGAUAAGCAUACUCUCAAAUGCCAAUGUAGCAUAAACUCUCUCUAAUGAUGUGACCCUCUCAAGCCAAGGAUCCCUGGAUCAACGUCCGUAUGAUAGAUAGUGGAAAUGACAUGACUACCCUCCAUGUAAUGAACUGAGGAUGAUCACCACUCGAGGUGGAAGAAGAUGAAGCGGAACAAACGAUAGAUAUAAUAAAGAAGAGGAUGAAGAACCAACGAGAUGUGAUGAAAUGAAAUGACGCAAUGAUAGGAAAAGAUAAUGAGAAAGAUGUGUCCCUCAGUCCAAGGCUCAUGAAACUCCUAAACAAUGCAUGCAUACACUGAAGGGCCCCUAUCCCGGCGUAGAAGGUGAGCAAGGCUAUAAGAAAGAAAAGGCUAUGAUGCUCAUGAGAGGCUCAAAGGGCUAGCAAUGGUCUAGAUGUCAAUAAAGGUAAUAAGGUGUGAGCUAACCGAAAUGAAGGCCACCCAUCCUGCGACCACGGUCUCAAACAUCGUGCUAUCAAGUCCUCAACUGAUCAAUACUAAAGAUCGAUGUCCAUAUGAUAUAACCAUGUCAAACCUCUAGAAUCAUGCAUCAAAUCGUACUCCAAAUGCUCUAUAAUAAUCUCAAAGAUGAUCCUCUCAAAGCAAAGUGAACGGUGAUCUCAUCAGGCACGAGUGCCCAUCACAAGCCAACUCUCAUCAUACAAUAUCAAUCUCUAUACUCAUGGCAAAAUAAGUAAUAGUCCCAUCAAGCAAUCAACCAAUCCACAUAUCGUAAACCACCCAAAGAUCAUAAGAUAUCCCUCGCCAUGCAAGAUCAACCCUGGGCUCAAACUCCUCACACUCUACCUGGUCGGAUCAGAGAGGGGAUGUGCAAAACUAGAAAAGCCGAGGAUGGAAAGGUCAUAUAAUGGUCUCAAAGGGUGAUGCUGUGCAAAGCUCACAAUGGAUGGAUGUAGGUCAAAGCAAAGUCAAAGUGCGGGAAGUGAGCAAGGUACAACUUUGAUCAUAAGAAGAUGGAUCACAAUCUCGAACUCUCUAGGUCAAAUCUCUGAUCCUAGGCUAAUAGGCUCAAUAUCCUCCAUGAUAGGUCAAGCCUCAAGACCACAAUAUGCAAGUGAAGAGAUGCCCCAAGUCAAAAGUACAACACAUCAUAUCAUAAAACACAAACACAUGUCCAUAAAGGAAAAUGCAUCCAAUGGGAUUAUCCGAUGAGUACAUCAUGUAAAAGAAAGACAACAAAGACAAUACUCAAGAAUCAAGUUAUAGUCUCUAAAAGUCAAAAGUAAAACAAGACUAAACAAACAAGAACAAAAACAGUGACUGGUCCUGUCAUCACGUCUCUGGCCACAGAAUGAACAAAAUCUGAGUGCCACUGCACCAAGGUAAGCCAAUCAUGAGUCAAUCGCCCAAGUCAAUAAGAUCAGGGACUACUGGUGAAGGGGCGUCUGCAUGCAUGGCAUGAGCUGAGGUAGGAAUAGGAAACAUAUCGGACUGGGGAUCCCCAAACGUCCCAGAAUCAACAAUGUCCUGUAUGGCAUGUCGUAGAGCAGUGCAACGAUCAGUGUGAUGUCCUACUGACUGAUGGUACAUACAAUAUAAAUCAAGUCGAAACUGUGGUGGCACAGGAUUUGGAAGUGCCCUAGGAGCCAGAGGAGCCAAAAAUCCCAUGGCCUGCAACGUCUCAAAAACCUUGCUCAGGGGUGUGCCCAAAUCUGAAAAGUGUCUCUGACAUCGUCGACGAGGGUGAAGUCGCUCAUGAGGAACUGUGAUAACUGGAGGGCCCUGAAACUGGGGCGGAGGUCGUGUCGACGUAGCCAGUGAAAUGGAUGAGGAAUGCUGCUGGAACACUGAAUGUGGGCGAGGUCGUGGAUGUGAGGCACCCAAAGUAGCAAACAUCGAUGGAGUCAAAUGUGGCAAUGAAGGCAUCGCUACUCCUGGAGCUCCUCUCGAUGACGAUGGAUGCUCUGACAAAAUAAGCUCAAUCCUCUUAACCCUCUGUGUCAAAUCCACCAUCAUCUCGUAAAGAGUAGUAAGAGUAAUGGGUGCGAUCUCGUCCGACAUGGUGAACCUCAACUGAAGAAGUCUAAUCUCGAUGUACUCUGUAUCAUAACCAUCAUGCCAUCAAUCUCUGCUCGGGGACCAGUCACGACACUAAAACUGUCCAAGACUCUAAAACAAACACAUGCAAGAGACAAAAAAAAGCAACACACGAAGCUACUCAAGAUAACAACACAUAAAAUGCAUGAUACGAAACAAUGAUAACAAUAAAAAAGAAGAUAGAAACACAUGCCCAAGAAAACAACAAUAUCACUAAGUGAAAUGAGAGUACAUCAUGCGAAAUGAUAAGAUAAUAAGGUCUACUCUCAAAACAUAGGGUACGAACACGAACCACUAACUACAAAACAAGACUCAAAUACAAAAUAAAAGAGAACAAAAACUCAAACGACCAACUAACAAUGUAGUCCCAAAAAUACACCAACAAGGUAUGCAAUAUCAAAGUGUUUGGUGAAUAUCAGUGCCCUGGGUGUCCAAAAUGUGAUGGUAUAAGCCUGAAGGAGGAGGAACUGCAUGUGUGGACUAAGCUGGAAAGGAAUCAGUAGACAUAUCUGGACCAAGAUCAGUAUCUGUGGUCGAUAUGGGAAAGCUAACUGCGCCACUGUCAAUAAGAUCCUGUAUGGUGUGACGUAGAGAAGCACAAUAAUCAGUACGGUGGUCUGCCAUCUGGUGAAAUGCACAGAACUCAUGAGCAUGAAAACGCGGAGGCAAGGUACUCGGGAGUGGCCUAGGGGCCAAUGGUACUAAAACACCAGUAGAUCUGAGUCGCUCAAAAGCUCUAUCCAAAGGCAUCCCCAAAUCAGAAUAAGUCCUCUGAUGUCGCCGAUGGGGACGAGACUGCUCAUGUCGUGGGAUACUAGUCUGUGGACACUGAAACUGAAAUGAAGGUCGCAACGUGACAGUAUGAGGAUGCACAGAAGGGUACUGCUGAACUGAAUGAGGAUGACGAUGCUGUAAAAGUGGGAAAUCACUCCUGGGUAUCUGCAAUGAUCUCGCAUAGGGAUGAUAACCAGGCCGUCGAUGCUGAAAGUCCGCAGAACAUAUGCCUCCAUAGCUCUCAGAUGAUCCACCAACUCCCUUCCCCUCAGUAUCCGGAGAAGGAAUAAUAUCUGACCAUAAUCCUCUAGAGAUGCCAUCAUCUACAUCGAACAAAGCCUGAACCAAUGAUCUGAAAUCCUGGAAUGGGACUCCUGUCAGAUGCCGAGCAAACCUAGGGUGCAAACUCCUCAAAAACAUGCUCAUCUGAUCUCUCUCGCUAGGUCGCUCAAUCAUCUCCGCAGCCUUCUCCCUCCAGCGAGAGAUAAAAGAAGAAACAGACUCAUCUGGUCCCUGUCGAAGAAACUCAAGCUUUCUACGUGUAACGCUCGUAUCACCACUGAAGGAAUACUGUCUCAGAAACUCCUGUGCUAAGUCCUCCCAAGUUCUCCGACGAGAUGUCUCUAAUGAAGCGUACCAUCUCUGUGUCGUGCCGCUCAAUGACAAUGGGAACAAAGUGAGCAACUGUGCCUCAUCUAAACCAAGAGCCCUCAUAACUGUGCUAUAAAGUCUGAGAUGAAUACGAGGACAUCCAACUCCCGUAUAUCUCUCUAUAUCAGGCAUCCUGAAACCGACUGGCAAAGUGGCCACUGGCACGUCGCCGGGGUCAUCCCAUGAAAUCAUCUCAUCAAGAUCUCUCAUCCGUCUAAUCCUCUGCUCGAGUCUGUCCAUACGAGAAUGAGGAUCCUCAAUAACGGUAACUGGUGUGACCAUAGGUGGAAUGACGGCAGCAUGAUCAUGUGAAACAGUAGGCAACGUCUGUGUAGCUGGCAUCUGAACAGGUAGAACAGGUGGUGUCACUAAAUCAGAUGGCGUGUCCUCGAGCACUACGUGCCUACUCUACUGAGUAUCCAUCCUCUAGCUCAAACUGGUCAAUGCCUCCUGAAUCGAAACCACAGAAGUGAUAAGCUAACCAAUCGAAACUGACUGUGAAUCUGUCUAUAGCAGCUCAACGAUACGAAUCAACAUCUCUCUCACUCAACCCAGGGCACUGAACUAAGACUGGGACCACAAAUAGACUCCUAUAGAAGAGCCAAUCAAAACGACUCAAACACGACUCAUGCAACGACACGGGAUGCAACGAACAAUGACCAAUGCAUGAUACAACACAAUCCACAACAUGACAGGGCGCGACACACAAUCAUAUGGUGACAAUCAAAAUUUGGAUAGACGAUAGAAUCUCUAGAGUCACAUGAGUGUCCAAUGUGAGACAACUACAAAUAUGACUAAAGAAUUUCUAUCGAUAAUCCAGAAAAUGAUCGAGGUGUGAAGAAAAUAAAUGGGGUGUGAAGAACAACACUAUCACGAGAUCGAUACUCAAUCUAUAACAAAACAUCUUUGAUUUGACCUUCAACUCGAGCUCCAUAGGAGAAGAAAACGAUAAGGUGAUCCAGGCGAAUCUCUCAAAAAAUGUGUGAAUAUGAAAAUAUGCCUUUCACCUUUCUGUAAUGAAAAUAUGAGCAUCGAGUCGAAAAUCGAACCAAGGAUCAAACAAAGAAUGAGGUACUGAGCCCGUGAUAGGUGUACAGUGCAAAAAGAUGGUCAAUGAACAUAUCCCAAAGUAUCGAGAAGUGACGACAAAGUGAAGAGGUGUGCCGAGCCAAGAAAUGAGAACGAAAGCCCUAAAGAGAGAAACUCAUCAAAUGAAAAACACAAACUAAGGCGACAAGACGAAAGGUGACCCAACCGUACUCAAACUCAUACCGAUCUCCAAGCACUCUCAACUGGAGACUAAAAAGAGGGAGUGUCAAAUCCGAAGUGUAACCACAGAGGCUCUGAAAGGCCCUCAGAUGCACCCACGUGUAGGGAGGGAGUCCUAAUCAAAGGAUCUACGGUUCAAACUACAAGGUCAUGGUGGCUCUAAAUGGAUAUGGGUGGAUUUUAAAGAUCCCUAGCAGAA